GACGAACGCUGGCGGCGUGCCUAAUACAUGCAAGUCGAACGCAGUGGGGACGGGUGAGUAACACGUGGGUAACCUCCCAUCAGAGGGGAUAACACUUGGAAACAGGUGCUAAAACGAUACUGAUGGAUGGACCCGCGGUGCAUUAGCUAGUUGGGGAGGUAACCGCUCCCCAAGGCCACGAGACAUAGCCGACCUGUGAGGGGGACCGUCCCCACCGGGACUGAGACACUGCCCAGACUCCUACGGGAGGCAGAAGUGGGGAAUCUUCGGCAAUGGACGAAAGUCUGACCGAGCAACGCCGCGUGAGUGAAGAAGAUUUUCGGAUCGUAAAACUCUGUUGUAAGGGAAGCGGUAUCUAACCAGAAAGCCACGGCUAACUACGUGCCAGCAGCCGCGGUAAUUC
rnacentral:rRNA from 1 species